rnacentral:rRNA from 1 species
GUGAAGUCGUAACAAGGUAACCGUAGGGGAACCUGCGGUUGGAUCACCUCCUUACCAAGAAG